UACGUAGGGGGCAAGCGUUGUUCGGAUUUAUUGGGCGUAAAGAGUGUGUAGGCGGCUAGAUAGGUCCGUUGUGAAAACUCGAGGCUCAACCUCGAGAUGUCGAUGGAAACCGUCUGGCUAGAGUCCGGAAGAGGAGUGUGGAAUUCCUGGUGUAGCGGUGAAAUGCGCAGAUAUCAGGAAGAACACCUAUGGCGAAGGCAGCACUCUGGGACGGUACUGACGCUGAGACGCGAAAGCGUGGGGAGCAAACAGG
rnacentral:rRNA from 1 species